rnacentral:lncRNA from 1 species
GUGACUACAGGCAAGCUAAUUCCUGUGCUUCCUCUUCUGUAAAAUGGCGCACUAGCAGCAGCACAAACCUCCCCACAGGCCUGUUUUGAAAAAUGUAAAUCACUCAGAACACAGUGCCUGCAAUGUGCAUACUACUAGUUAAGUACUCAAAAGAUGCCAAGUGAUUUGGUUAUCUGACCCUCACAGAAACGGUAUUUCAAACUGCUGCCUACUUUGGAGAUUCAGUGUAUUAUAGCAAAAGAUAGAUAAUUUCAGUCUCUAGCCCUCUGGAAGAAGUGAAGGGAAAGUGAGAUUGAUUACCUGGAGAAGGACCUGAUCUUGCUGCUUUUGAGUUACAAAGGUACCUGCUCCAUCUUUCGAGUAAAGCUUGCUGUGAAAUGUUCAACCUUCCAUUCUAGUCAAAUCAGAUUUAAAUGCUGAGGUUGUUAAAACACUUCAAUUUUCAAUAGCUCCUAUGAAUUGAGAAAAACCUUUAAGUAAUGCCAUUUCCAUUCUUUGGCAUGGCUAGGCAGACAAUAUCCUGAAAUAUGUCAUUUGUGAGAAGCACUACAACUCAGUGGUUAGGAACAAAGGCAUCAGAUGCCUGGUCAUACCUCUGGCUCUGCUGCUCACCAGGUGUGUGACCUUAACAGGCAAGUUACUUAACUUCUCUACCUCAGUGUCCUUAUCUAUAAAAUCUGGAUAAUAAUUGUUUCUUAGGGUUGUUGAGAGGAUUAAAGGAGUUCAUUCAUGUAAACCUCUUAGAACAGGACCCGAAAGAAUAAGCACCAAAAAAGGUUAUGAUUAUUAUUAAAAUCCAUCAGUGUAAAACAUUUCCUUGGUGUUAAUGACAUUAACUGUAUAAAAAAUACAUCUUGAUCUCACCCAGAAAAAAAAAAAUCCUAAAAUCUGGUAUUUCCAUGUUUUAGUUAAUUGUAUUGGUACCAGACAUGAGGUAGUAAGUACAGAAGCAAAGGAAGAAGUACAAUGAUCACAUCUUUAUGCAAUUAACCUGUUGCCUGAAGACCGGAAGACUGGACCUUAGGCCAGAAAAGAAAAUCAGAAGGAUGAUGACUUGGUAAUAUUUUAGAGGAGUGUCUCACAUCUGACAAGGACCAGACUAAAUAUUUUAACUGAAUACCUCGUUUCCAUCUUCUCUGUGUAAGAUUUCUCAACUUUCAAACAUUUACUUUCUUCCCAAGUAAUCUUUUAAAAAACUAGUAGCAUUAAUAAUGCUGAUAGUGCCAGUAGCAUUACCAAAAGGAAGCACAAACUUUGCUUAUCAGUACAGCCAUCACCUCAAUAAUUUUAUACCAAUUUCUCACAAACUGACAGUAAGCAAGCAUAAAUAGUUGGCCUAGUUACAACAGGUUGAUGUGGUGUUUUAGCCUGAAGAAUUUUAAAGCAAGCCAAGUAAUUGUAUAAAAUUUAAAUUUUAUGACCAUGUUUGGACCUUUUUACAUUAAGCACAAUGGAAAUGUUCAUAUUCAUUUUUCCCCAUAGGAAAAAUUUCUGAAUCAUCACUAUGUUGCACAGUAGAAUAAAAAUAGGAGUUCAGGUACUUAUUCAAGUUUCUAAAGAAUGCAAAUAACAGACACGAUUUUACUUCCAAAAUCUGAAGUCAUCAACAUGAUUUUGUAGUACUGUAUCUCGGGCUUCACUUAAAAAUUCAUUAUUAUUCAGAUAAAGACAGCCCCCUAGUCACACUUUUUAGAAAGCCGCUGUCCCACCACAACUUCCUGAGGUCUGCAAAGAAACUGCAGUCUUG